UUCACCUAAGGCAAAAGCAAUUAACAUCAAUUACAGCCUGCUGGGAGUGUUACUUCCAGAGUUCCCUUUCAGAGGAUUAACAAGCAGAGACUUCAGGUGGCUUUGUAUGUUCCUUGUGGCUUUGACUGAUGUCCUGGCACACUUCCUUGUCAGAUGGUUGGAGCUGUUUGGGGGUUCCCUCUUAUUUAAGAGGUACUCAGAAGAAGACAAAUUGGAGGGAAGAAAAGCCAAAGACCUGGAGCUAAACAACACCUCCUGGAAUGGCUGGGGGAAGUCAGUCCAUCUCUGUGGAAGCUCUGCUAACUGCCAGAACUCAGAGUGAAGUCCUGAGCUUUUAUCAGCUUGCCCCCAAGACAGCACAGGAGAGCAUUCACCACCUCUGCUACCUGCUGCUGGAUUGCAAGGUUUUCUCUCAGGAUUAAAAGAACAGCAGCAGUUGAAAUAACCCCAGCUGCUACCAGAGUGCAUUCUGUACCUGUGUCUUGGUUUGGUUUAAGCCCAUCCAGCAGUGAAGGACCACACAGCUGCUCCCUUACUCCCCCAACCCUGUUUGGACGAGUGGGAAGACAACUGGCAGGGUUUACCAGGAACAGGCUCUGGCUGCCUGCACAGCCAGCAGGACGCCGUGCUGAGACUGCACAGGGCAAGACAUCCUGCCUACACCUGAAAGGCUCCUGCUGAGACAGCAAGUCCUGGAGACACAGACAGAUCAUCCAGAGGAGCCAGGACCAGCUCAGAGAUUGUCUGCCUCCUUUCCCUGGCAACCUGUGGAUCCUGGGAAGAAUCAGAAGCCUCAGCAGCUGACAAGGCAGUAACAGAAUUCCCUGAAAGCAUUUGGGUGCUGUCUGAAGCUGUAGCCAGCCCCAUGAGUUGGGAGAGAGUGUGUGAGGAAGUACUUAAAGCCUCUUGUAAUUCACCAAUUGCCUUCUGCCCUAAGCAGGGUCCAUUUAGUGGGCAAGAGGUGGAUUGACUGCAAGCAGUGUUCUGACUGCAGGAACCUCCUCUUCCAGUUCAAGGAACGUUCUGCUUUUGUUAGCUGUUUCUAGACCUGGUUACUCCUCUGGAUAAUGUUUCCAUGACUGUGCAAAGAACCAAUUACCAUUAAAUUCAGUGGUCAGGGGGGGAGGUGAGACUCUUGAAUAUGGCAGAUGUACAAACAACAUUAAUUUGGGGGAAAUACAAUCUUGCAUUGAUUAAUUACCUCUCCAUAACACUGUGGCAUUCAGGCGUGACCUGCUUGCAUGCCUCCUGAUGCCAACACAGGGAGCUGUGUGAGUGACAGCUAAGUGCCCCAAAGAUAGCAGCUCUGUGGUAACAGUACUUACAGC